rnacentral:rRNA from 1 species
UACGUAGGGGGCGAGCGUUGUCCGGAUUUAUUGGGCGUAAAGAGCGUGUAGGCGGCUUGGUAGGUCUCGCGUCAAAACCUGAGGCUCAACCUCAGUUCGCGUGGGAAACCACCUAGCUAGAGUCCGGAAGAGGAGAACGGAAUUCCCAGUGUAGCGGUGAAAUGCGCAGAUAUUGGGAAGAACACCAGUGGCGAAGGUGGUUCUCUGGGACGGUACUGACGCUGAGACGCGAAAGCGUGGGGAGCGAACAGG